AAGGCCUUAGCUUAAUUAAAGCAUCUGUUUUGCACACAGAAUAUGUGGGAUAGUGCCCCGCAGGCCUUA
rnacentral:tRNA from 1 species